AUGACUAAUGUUAGUUACUUGCCAAUGUAUGCAACAUCCGAGAAUACGGUUUCAUCCCCUCCACCUAUCGUCUCUAAUGAAAUGCCACCUCCUCACACUAAUAAGCGAAAGAAUCGUUCAGAGGCUUGGAAUCAUUUCAUUAUAUCGUCAGAAGAAGAACAAAAAGCUUCGUGCAAGUACUGUGACACAAAAAUUAAGUAUAAUAAUGGAACUAGUUUCAUGCAUGCUCAUUUAUCGAGAUGCCUUGUUUACAAGAGACAAAAUACAUCAUCUUCUAUGACAAGUGAUGAAUAA